UACGUAGGGACCAAGCGUUGUUCGGAUUUACUGGGCGUAAAGGGCGCGUAGGCGGCAAUUCAAGUCAUCUGUGAAAUCUCCGGGCUUAACUCGGAACGGUCAGAUGAUACUGCUUUGCUAGAGUGCGGAAGGGGCAAUCGGAAUUCUCGGUGUAGCGGUGAAAUGCGUAGAUAUCGAGAGGAACACCAGAGGUGAAGACGGGUUGCUGGGCCGACACUGACGCUGACAGCGCGAAAGCGUGGGGAGCAAACAGG
rnacentral:rRNA from 1 species